rnacentral:lncRNA from 1 species
AAGGUCCAAAAAAAAAAAAAAAGUUUGAGUUUUGAGAGAGAAGAGGAGGUGAAGAAGGAGGGGAAAGGCAAAAAAACGGAUAGAGAAACGGUCCGAGACGCGACACUACCAACCGGAACUGCUACCUUUUUCACCCUCCUCUCCGCCACCGCCACCGCCACCCCCGGCGCGGCGGCUUCUAGAAUCGUCUGGAACCCAGUGUGGGCAGGCGGCGCGGAGACAUCUCGGCGGCGGCGG